rnacentral:rRNA from 1 species
AGUGGGGAAUAUUGCACAAUGGGGGAAACCCUGAUGCAGCAACGCCGUGUGGAGGAUGACACAUUUCGGUGCGUAAACUCCUUUUAUAUAGGAAGAUAAUGACGGUACUAUAUGAAUAAGCGCCGGCUAACUCCGUGCCAGCAGCCGCGGUAAUACGGAGGGCGCAAGCGUUACUCGGAAUCACUGGGCGUAAAGAGCGUGUAGGCGGGUUAAUAAGUCAGAUGUGAAAGCCUAUGGCUCAACCAUAGAACUGCAUUUGAAACUGUUAACCUAGAAUAUGGGAGAGGUAGAUGGAAUUUCUGGUGUAGGGGUAAAAUCCGUAGAGAUCAGAAGGAAUACCGAUUGCGAAGGCGAUCUACUGGAACAUUAUUGACGCUGAGACGCGAAAGCGUGGGGAGCAAA